rnacentral:tRNA from 1 species
AGGCAUUUAGUUUAAAGAAAACAUUUGAUUUCGGCUCAAAAAAUUGUGGUUAAACUCCACAUUUACCUA